GACGAACGCUGGCGGCGUGCUUAACACAUGCAAGUCGAACGGAAAGGCCCUGCUUUUGUUGGGUGCUCGAGUGGCGAACGGGUGAGUAACACGUGAGUAACCUGCGCUUGACUUUGGGAUAACUUCAGGAAACUGUGGCUAAUACCGGCUAGGAGCUCCUGCUGCAUGGUGGGGGUUGGAAAGUUUCGGUGGUUGGGGAUGGACUCGCGGCUUAUCAGCUUGUUGGUGGGGUAGUGGCUUACCAAGGCUUUGACGGGUAGCCGGCCUGAGAGGGUGACAGGCCACAUUGGGACUGAGAUACGGCCCAGACUCCUACGGGAGGCAGAAGUGGGGAAUAUUGCACAAUGGGCGGAAGCCUGAUGCAGCAACGCCGCGUGCGGGAUGACGGCCUUCGGGUUGUAAACCGUUUUCGCCUGGGAAGAAGCGUGAGUGACGGUAAUGGGUAAAGAAGCAACGGCUAACUACGUG
rnacentral:rRNA from 1 species